rnacentral:lncRNA from 1 species
GCACCUGGCUUCCACUGGUAUAUAGGACCAAUGUGGAAACUCUUUGAGCUCAGUUCAGAGGUCUGAGUGUGACAUUUCAGCUUGCUUGGAGGACAAGGAAUAAGAGACACUGAGUUACAGUUUUAUACGCCUGUACUACAGGUCAAAGACUGAACAACAGAUGGUAUUGGAAGUGGAAAAGAAGAUCUCAUGUAGCAGUAGUUCUUGGCUCCCAGGAAAACACAAUGACAGGAAAGACAAAGGCUGUCACUACAUCUGUGCUAUUACUCCUACAUCUCACAGCUCAGUUCCCCUGUCCUUUUAACUUCUGUUUUUCAUAAAUUGUGACACCUCUGAAGUAAUGGUCAUUUGGAUUGUUUUAUUUCAUCACUAUCCACAAUCUGUAAUCUACAAAAGUCUUCAUUAUUG